AGGGUUUGAUUAUGGCUCAGGACGAACGCUGGCGGCGCGCCUAACACAUGCAAGUCGAACGAGAAAGAGGGAGCUUGCUCCCUUGAUCGAGUGGCGAACGGGUGAGUAACGCGUGAGGAACCUGCCUCAAAGAGGGGGACAACAGUUGGAAACGACUGCUAAUUCCGCAUAAGCCCACGGCUCGGCAUCGAGCAGAGGGAAAAGGAGCAAUCCGCUUUGAGAUGGCCUCGCGUCCGAUUAGCUAGUUGGUGAGGUAACGGCCCACCGAGGCGACGAUCAGUAGCCGACCUGAGAGGGUGAUCGGCCACAUUGGAACUGAGACACGGUCCAA
rnacentral:rRNA from 1 species